rnacentral:rRNA from 1 species
GUGGGGAAUCUUGCGCAAUGGGCGAAAGCCUGACGCAGCCAUGCCGCGUGAAUGAUGAAGGUCUUAGGAUUGUAAAAUUCUUUCACCGGGGACGAUAAUGACGGUACCCGGAGAAGAAGCCCCGGCUAACUUCGUGCCAGCAGCCGCGGUAAUACGAAGGGGGCUAGCGUUGCUCGGAAUUACUGGGCGUAAAGGGCGCGUAGGCGGACAGUUUAGUCAGAGGUGAAAGCCCAGGGCUCAACCUUGGAAUUGCCCUUGAUACUGGCUGUCUUGAGUACGGGAGAGGUGAGUGGAACUCCGAGUGUAGAGGUGAAAUUCGUAGAUAUUCGGAAGAACACCAGUGGCGAAGGCGACUCACUGGCCCGUUACUGACGCUGAGGCGCGAAAGCGUGGGGAGCAAACAGGAUUAGAUACCCGAGUAGUCC